rnacentral:rRNA from 1 species
GAGUUUGAUCCUGGCUCAGAUUGAACGCUGGCGGCAGGCCUAACACAUGCAAGUCGAACGGUAACAUUUCUAGCUUGCUAGAAGAUGACGAGUGGCGGACGGGUGAGUAAUACUUAGGAAUAUGCCUUUGUGUGGGGGAUAACCAUUGGAAACGAUGGCUAAUACCGCAUAACGUCUUCGGACCAAAGGGGGCCUUGGCUCCCGCGCAAAGAGUAGCCUAAGCGAGAUUAGCUUGUUGGUGAGGUAAAGGCUCACCAAGGCGACGAUCUCUAGCUGUUCUGAGAGGAAGAUCAGCCACACUGGAACUGAGACACGGUCCAGACUCCUACGGGAGGCAGCAGUGGGGAAUAUUGCACAAUGGGGGAAACCCUGAUGCAGCCAUGCCGCGUGUGUGAAGAAGGCCUUCGGGUUGUAAAGCACUUUCAGUUGUGAGGAAAGGUUAACGGUUAAUACCCGUUAGCUGUGACGUUAGCAACAGAAGAAGGACCGGCUAACUCCGUGCCAGCAGCCGCGGUAAUACGGAGGGUCCGAGCGUUAAUCGGAAUUACUGGGCGUAAAGCGCACGCAGGCGGUUUGUUAAGCUAGAUGUGAAAGCCCUGGGCUCAACCUGGGAAUUGCAUUUAGAACUGGCAGGCUAGAGUUUUGGAGAGGGGAGUGGAAUUCCAGGUGUAGCGGUGAAAUGCGUAGAUAUCUGGAGGAACAUCAGUGGCGAAGGCGACUCCCUGGUCAGUAACUGACGCUCAUGUGCGAAAGUGUGGGUAGCGAACAGGAUUAGAUACCCUGGUAG